rnacentral:rRNA from 1 species
CAGUCGCCGCGGUAAUACGGAGGGCGCGAGCGUUACCCGGAUUUACUGGGCGUAAAGGGCGUGUAGGCGGCCUGGGGCGUCCCAUGUGAAAGGCCACGGCUCAACCGUGGAGGAGCGUGGGAUACGCUCAGGCUAGAGGGUGGGAGAGGGUGGUGGAAUUCCCGGAGUAGCGGUGGAAUGCGCAGAUACCGGGAGGAACGCCGAUGGCGAAGGCAGCCACCUGGUCCACUUCUGACGCUGAGGCGUGAAAGCGUGGGGAGCAAACCGGAUUAGAUACCCCAGUAGUCCCUGUCUCUUAUAC